rnacentral:rRNA from 1 species
UACGUAGGGGGCAAGCGUUGUCCGGAAUUACUGGGCGUAAAGCGUGCGUAGACGGUCAUGUAAGUCGGGUGUGAAAGCCCCGGGCUCAACCUGGGAAUUGCAUUCGAGACUGCAUGGCUAGGAUGCGGAAGAGGGAAGCGGAAUUUCCGGUGUAGCGGUGAAAUGCGUAGAUAUCGGAAGGAACACCAGUGGCGAAAGCGGCUUCCUGGUCCAGCAUCGACGUUCAGGCACGAAAGCGUGGGAGCAAACAGG